CGCCGCGUGAGUCAGCUCGGCGUUUCGGCGUUACUCGUUGGCUACGCCUUCAGGGCGCGCCCGGAGCGCGGUGCUGGGGGCGGGCGGUUGGGCCUGGCGGGCUGCGGCGAGGCGGGUGGUCGCCUCCGGGAGCGCGGGAGAACUUUAACCCGCCCAGUUCGGAGUUGAGAAUUGCUAGCGCCCCUCCCCGGGCUUGAGAAGAGGGAGAGCAGGGAAGGACAGUGAAGGACUCGGUGCCUAACCUUGAGUUUUACGAUACAUUCAUUUAGGGGUUCGAAACAUACUAGUUUUGCUCCACAAGUCGCCGCCAGGGCGGCCACCGAACCCCUCCGACCCCCGUGGAGGCCAGCUAGUGCUACGUUGCGCGGAGUCCGCGUGGACGCGCCACUUGAACAGUGGGGACAAUCCGCGUCAUCACGAAUGUCCUCCCGCUUAGGGCUUUUUUGGAAAGUCUCUCUCGAAGGUCUGAGUGGGGAGACCCGGGCGUAAAGGCCUCCAGCCAGGAGCCAGGGGUUCCCCCCACAACCACCCCUUGUGACCCCAUGAGAGCGCUACGCUGACCAGUGCCCGGAGGUCUGUGAGCACCGCGUGGGAGGCCGCGUCCAGCAGUCUCGGUCUCCCAGCGCGGGUCAGGACCGGCUGCAGUUGCUCUUGUGCCUUACGAGUCGCGGCGAGAAGGGCGCAAUGUCAAGAUCGUUCUUCCAGCCGAGCCGGCGAGCCAGGGCCUGCUCCCGACUCCCGCUGGGGAGGCGCCGGGCCCAGCUCGCUUCAGGGCCCCGCUGAGGGCGCGUUUCUCGGGAUUCGCGCCGCACGGUCGGCCUGGGGGUUGGGAGAGAGGGCAGCAAACAAGAUCUUUCUCUGGAUGGGAAGCUCCAUUUCGCGGCAAAGCGGGUCGGGUAAACAGGUCGCGCGAACGUUCCAUGGAACUGGAAGCCCCAGGGACAUUGCUGGCAACCUCCUACGCCGACCAAACGGGAGCCCUCUCACCAAUAAUGGACAUGCUGAAGAUGCCAAAUGGAGAUGAGAGGCCCUGGAGGAUGAGAAGUCACAUGGAGGAGAACUGAGGCACGUCGGCCAAUAGCCAGCACCAAAGGCUGGCCAUAUAAUGUGGCCCAGUAACAGGAGACCUAUGGUAGUUACAUGGGAACCUGUGUUAGUUUGUCUCUGAGACUCUACGCAUAGCCUCAUUUGAAGAUUAUGGUCGGAAGUCUAAAUCUGAAGCUCUUUGUGAAAAUGAAGUUUGAGCCAAAGGCACUCCUGCCAGAUACUGAAUCUGCUGAUCCCAUGAUCUUGGACUUCCUGGCUUUCAGGCUGUAAGAAACAAAUAUUUGUUGCUGGUAACCCACCAAGUUUAAGGUAAUUUUGUUAUAGCAGCCAAAACAGACUCAGACAAUGGAUGUUUGUGUCAUUUCUAGUUUCCAGGGCUGUGGCUGACACCCUUUCAGUAUCUCUUUGUGCUCAUGCAUGAGAGAUUCUUCAGAGUACAUAACAAGAAGUGGAAUUACUGGGUCACAGAGGAUAUCGAUUUUCAGAACUGCUUGGUAUUGCCAAAUGAUUCUUAAAGAGGCUGUACAAGGUAUACUGAAGGCAGCUAUUUUUAGAGCUUACAUUUUACUCUCAUAUCUUUGCCCUGGGUCCUCAAUGCAGACAAUGUUAUGCAUUCACCUUUAGAAAUCUUCUAAACUAACCACUCUUAUCGUACAUAGUUGCGUGUUAUGACACUUUAAAGAUUUUUUAAAAAGACAUAUUCAUUGCAAAAAAUUAAAACAGUUCAUAAAAGCGUUCAUAAAAGGUAAUAAUCACCUGAUAUCCUAGCACUCAAAGAAAACCACUAUUGCCAUUUUGAUGAAUAUCUUUCCAAACAUUUCUGGUGCAAAUGGAUAUGUGUGCAAAGUUGCAUAAAUGGAAUCUGGCAGGCUAGUUUAUUCCCUGCCUUUUUAUUCAACAGUCAAUUAUGAACACCUUGAGAUAGUUGUCCAAAUCUGCAAAACUCCUUGAUUUCUUCUGGCUUGGAGUGGCUUUGAAGUUAGAAGAUGAGGGGAGGGGAAGUGAGGAGAGAGGGCUAAUAGUGGCAAAGGGCUUGGUACAUGUUCCCUCUGAUUUCCUCAUCCCAACCAUCCCGGGAGGCAGGUGCUACCACCGAGCCUACAGAUGGGGGAAUUAAGGUCAUAGCAACAGAAGCAACAGACUCAAAAUUCAGUAAGUUCUCCCCCCUCAUCGCACUGCAUCUACUCCCCCUGUUCACCCCUCCUCCUCUCCCAUGGGGCUUCCUCAGUCCCUUACAGAUGCAAAGGGUGAAAGACACUGGAAGACCCAGAAGAUGGGAGGCCCACGUCUCACCAAAACCUUGGUGAAGCCCACAGGGGAGAGAAUACAAAAAGCUUCCCUCACUGAGGUAAACAUCUGCUUUCCCUCUUCUUACCUCAGAAAAGACGGCAGCAGUGUAUUCCUGAAGGCCCUCUGAGGGGCAUUAAUCUGGAAGCAUCUCAGAGGAGAGGGCAAAGGGCCAUUUCUUGGCUGGGUGGAAGCAGCCAGAUCCUGAGAAAGGGUUUGAACCAAUCCCAGACUUGCAAGGGGUAGGAGGGUCAAGGAACACAGGAAGGCAGAGAUCAGGGUAGCUAGUGGUUUGCCAAGUCUGCGUAAGUCCCUCUCUGAGCUGCCAGGCAUGCCUGGAAGACCUGUGGUGAGGAGCUGGGGUCAGCCGUGGCUUCAUGUAGCCGAAGGAGCAACAGUAAAGAGGGAAACCACCGGGGCCCAAGGACAUGGCCUCCCUUCCCACCCCUGCCAUUGGGUAGCACGACAUAAGCCCACAUUUCUAGUAGGUUCCCAGGAUUGGGGGAGGGAACACCCUAAUCUUUGGGAUGCUAAAUUUUGUUUUGGAGAAAUAAAGGAAAGUGUCAUUCCUUGAAUUGGCUAUUGUGGCCUCAAAUGCCGGGCUGAUGAUACUGGUAUGCAACCCAUACGGUCACCCAGAGCCCUGCCCUUGGUUUAAUGCUCUGCCAUCACCAUCUUAAAACUCUUGGUAAAUUUUUGAAGAAGGAGCCCCACACUUCCAUUUUGCAGUCAUGCAAAUUACAUAGCGGGUCCUGUGAAAAUGCAUGUCUGCUGUAUGCCGAUAGGGCAGACAUUCCGAAAGUUUUCUAUAUUUAGGAGAAAUCCUCACUGAGAACAGGAGCAGUUAUGAGAAUGCUAACUACUGACCAAAGCCACUGUGGGGUUGCCUAGAUACAUCUCUCCCAUGAAAACAGGGUUAAAUAUAAAGGGAAUAUGUGUCAUGAUGACACUAAAUAUGAAAACCAUGGUGGUACACAGAAAGGGGUGGCCACGAUGAAAGCAAAGCUGCUGGGGGUGGAAGCGGGGAGGUGUUUUCUUGUGGGUUUCGGUGUUGAAGUCUCGAAAGUGCCGGUGAGCCCUGACAUAUGCGUCUCCAGAGCCCCGGUCUGCUCCCAGGAAUGAGUGCUCACCCAGCGCUGACAGCUCCCAGGAAUGCUGACGGUUUGGGGCAUUUCUCGCUGCAGAGACCCCACUUGUUUUUAGGCCUGAAAUUUGCACAGAACUUCAGAAGUUAUACAUCAAUCUAGAGUCUUUGUAUAUAUUUGGAACUGAAUAAUCUACUUUUGAAGCUGUCAGAUCGUGAUGUCUAUGAUGUUUUUCACUUGGUUUCCAGGUUCUUGGGGGCUUAAAUGACUGCUUUAUGGAAAGAGGAUGCUUUUUUCCAAGGUUCCAAAAUUCGCACUGCUCUAGUUGGAAGCUCCCAGAAGCCCCCUGCAGGUGGUUAGGUGUUUGUUGGUACUGGACAAAAAUAUCCCCUGGAGAUGAGAGGUCUGGUGUGACAGGUGUGACCAGGGGUCAGGAGCCCGGGGUGCAGCACCCCUGGGAUGCAGACUCCCACCUGCCUCCACGUGUUCACUCUCCCUCACUGCAGGGCACGUUCUCUGUAAUUAGCACAGGACAGCUGCCUCCAGUUCCCAAAGGUAGCCUUAACCACCCACCGCAGUGUAUCAGGCACAGACUGAGUGCUAGGUUCAGGUGCUCACCAUGUUCUGGGUGCAGCUCUAAGCCUCUCUCAUGGGUGAUUCUGUUUAACUCUCAGAACUGCCCAGCGAAGCAGGCGCUCUUAUUACCUCCUUUCAACCGAUAAGAGAAACAAGACACUGAGAGGCCAGAGAAACUGACGCAAGCUAGCAAGUGUUGGAGCUAGAAUUCAAAGACAGGCUGAGCUGGUCAGUGGGAUCUCAAGGUCGCUUACCCAGUGGGUGGGGAGAAAGAGGAGGCUAAUUACAAUAAGGAUCCCAGAGCAAAGGUGCAAGCUGACAUCCAGGAUCUCUCCUGGCUGUUUGGACAAGAGAGAGACCACAGGGUUGAGCCUCAUGGGGGAGAUGGUGAUGCCUAGCAGGCAGGGAAGCAGGGCACCCUGCACCUCUCAGACAUUGACCGUGGACAGGCUCCACCCUCGUGAUGCCCAAGCCAGGCCAGGCUAAUAGGUUUGCAGUGAGUGACUUGGGACCGUUCUGAGCAUUGCCCAGUGCAGCUCACCCAAAGGCCCUGAGGCAGCCUCUACAGCAGAAGGUACUGUCACCUGAAAAAAAGAUCAGGUUCAGUGAAAGAUCUGGUCCCCCAGAAACUUGGAAGCCAAGAUGAGCCUUGCUCUGCUUUGUGCCCUAAGGGUGGAAUAUAAGGCAGGUGGGAAGAGUCUGCCCUAGGUACUUGAAACAGCUGUCAGAGCUCAACAGAGGUGGUCACAUUCAGUGUAAGAAUAGGAGUGUGUGGGUGAACCUCUGUAAAUGCCAGGGAGGUAGGUCAAAAACAAUAUUGGCAAUUUGGUUUGUUAAUUCUAAUCCAAUCCAGCCAGGAGCUGACUGCCCACUGUGGCCGGGGAGGGUAGGUGAACUCAGUGAACCAGUUAAUGCAGGGAGCAGGGGCAGCCAGCAUGGGGAAGACAGACACACUGGAUUACAAAAGAGGACAGUUGGGACAGUUGUGUGAGACAUUCAAGAGAGCCCUUGAGCCUGUAGGAAGGAACUUGUUGCGGCUGCAGCAUUUCCAUGAGCAGAAGCUGGAGGUCAGUGUCCUGUGAAUAUUGUUCAGACUCUUGGGAAUGAGGGUUACACUUACACACAGGCAGAAGUGACCAGGCUGGCAGCAUCAGCUAAGCGUCACUGCCGCCCAUGGUUCUAGGUGGUCAGGGGAGGCUUCAUGGAGGGAGUGAGUCUUGAGCUAAUCCUUCAAGAAGGAGCAACAGUAAGGGGUGGGAAUUAAAAACAUGUGCAGAGAAGGGGAGACUAUGAGAGAUGGAGAGACCUAAACUUCUAAAGGUAUUUUAUAUUCUUUAUUUUUUAAAAGAUUGUAUUUAUUUAUUUCACAGAGACACAGUGAGUGAUCGCACAAGCAGGGGUUGCUGCAGGCAGAGGGAGAAGCAGGCUCCCCACUGAGCAGGGAACCUGAUGCAGGCUGAUCCCAUGAUCUGGGAUCAUGACUUGAGCCGAAAGCAGAUGUUUAACCAGCUGAGCCACCCAGGUGCCCACUAAAGGUAUUGUAAAAUAGAGAAAGUCACAAAUUAGUAUGGAUACCAUGAUUCCUUUUUUGUUAAAAACAUGUAUGAAUAGGGGCGCCUGGGGGGUGCAGUCAGUUAAGCAUCCAGUUCAAUUUCAGCUUGGGUCAUGAUCUCAGGGUUCUAGGAUCGAGCCCCACAUAGAGCUCCUUGUUCAGUGGGGAGUUUGCUUGUCUCUGUCUCCCUCUGGCCCUUCCCCUGCUGUUCUCUCUUUCUCUCUCAAAUAAAUACAUAAAUCUUUUAAAAAGUAUGAAUAUAUACAUCUGCAUAUAGGUAGUCAUAAAUAAUAAAAUAAUGACAUAUGGAAGAUUAUUUAUUAAAAUCUUAACUAUGCUGUCAUUAUUGGGUAGUUUUUACUUCUUUUUGCUUAUCUGUAUUUUCUAAUUCUUCUACAAUAAGCAUUUGUUACUCGUGUAAGUUAUGGAAUACAGGCUACCCUAAGUCCUAUCAAUAUAGUAAUGCUUCACGUAGGAAGCUACUACCUGACUGUAAGCUGGAAUUCAUCUAAGGUAUUACUGGAAUAAGAAGAUUUCUUUAAUUCCUAGUGAAUAUAACAUAAUGGUUUAUGAACAUGCACUCUAUAGGUUUGAUUCUGUCUCCACAUCUUGCUAGCUGGUGAAAUAGAAUGAUGAUAGUACCUACCUCUGAGGCUCUUUUUGAACUCAAUAAAUGUUAUUAUUAGCUUCUCUCUCACCUGCCUUCCACAUACCCAGACCCUUACAUGAACAGCCCUCUCAACCAUCACCAUGAAGGUGGUGUAGACCCACAAGGGCUUCUCAAAAUUGAAUAUGUAUGUGAAUGAUCAGAAGAUCUUGUUUAAAUGAGCGUUCUGGGGAUGCCUGGGUGGCUCAGUUGGUUAAGCGGCUGCCUUCGGCUUAGGUCAUGAUCCCAGCGUCCUGGGAUUGAGUCCCGCAUCGGGCUCAUUGCUCAGCAGGAAGCCUGCUUCUGCCUCUGCCUCUGCCUCUGCCUGCCACUCUGUCUGCCUGUGCUCACUCUCUCUGACCAAAUAAAUAAAUAAAUAAAUGAGGGUUCUGACUCAGGAGGUCUGGGCCUAAGAGUCUCCAUUUCUAACAACCUCAAGGUAAUGUCAUGCUGCCAAUCCAUGGACCACACUAUGAGACAAGAAGGUAAGGGUGAGUUAAUGUCUUUAUACAAUAUCCAGAAACAAAAGUGCCCUUAAAUAUAUUCAGAUGUUACCUGUCAAAGGGUUCUCUUUUCCCUUGGACAGCACUCUGUCCUGUCCAUAAGUAAAUUUAAACACUUCUUCUGUGUGCUGGGUUCUGGGAAAUCGAGGCAUCUGUUACAAGACUGGGCCCUGCCCUUAAGGAGCUUGCAUUCAACACCAAGCUGUGAAAAGAACUUAUCCCCAGCUAAGCAAGGGCUCUAGACGGUGAGUGAAUGAAAGCAGGACCCCAGGGUCUGCUUUAAAUGCUUCAGAGAACUCAAGUCCAAAUACCUCCUUUGAAACAUUGAGGAUUAACACAUGCUCCGGAUAUGGGAUCGCAAGAAUAAGUCUUAGCAGUUAACGGAUGAGUCAUGUCUCUCUACAUAAAUAUAUGCUCCCAGAGGGUCUGUGAGGUUGUGGUGUAUUGUUUUCAUAGUUGCAAGUCCUCCCAUUCCUGGUUGAAUGGAAGAACCAGGGGUUGAGAUAUGGAAGUCAUCUGGAACAUAAAUACAUAGGCUUGUGGCACUACCACGUCAUUGUAUCCAUUGUGGAAGGAACAUGUUUGUCUCAUUUGGCUGCAUUUUGUGGGGCUUUCAGCUCCCACUGUAUUCCAUUUGAAGAUUAUUAUUUACUAUGGAAACAGUGAUGUCAAGUUGAUGUGGGUGGAACUCUGACCAUGAAGAAACACAAAAUAGUUCAUCACACAGGGUGCAAGUUAUUAUUAGACUUAGCAGUUGCCAGUUUGGGCAGGCACUCCUGCCCCCGUGUUUGCAGGGAGCAGGCGGGCAGGCUGUGGAGUAGCACACUUGGGGGAAAGUGUCCAUUUUCAAAGGCAUGGGCAUCUUGGAAUAAAGCUAUCAGCCCUGUUGAAACAGGACUUGGUCUGCCAACAGGAGCAAUAGGAACGGAGAGGUGAUUUAAUGGGGGCCUGUGGACAUAAGUGAUCCACUGUGUGAAGAUUUUCUUGAGUGAUGAUUGUCCUAGGAAGCCAGAACUCUCUUCUACGUGAGGAAUUUCUAUCAGGUGCGGACCCUUUGGAAGGAGAACUCCUGGAUAAUGGAGCUCUCUGGGAGUACUUGAAGCCAAGCAGGCCUGAGGUGGGCAUGAACUGCUGUGAGAAGCCAUGGGGCCAGAAGAGGGCCAUAGGCCUAGCUCAUAGGGGCAGGGGUUGCAAAUAAGAUUUCCCAGUAAAUCAGUCAUUUUUAUCAGGUGCUAAUUAUGUUCCAGACAUUAUAUCCUUUGGUUCUCUCAAUAAGCCGUGUAUUUGACCUGAAUUCUAGUGUUGCUUCCAUCUCACAGAUAUGGAAACCGAGACUAAGGGAAGGCAAGAACUCACCAAAGGUCUUAACAGAGUGAUGAAAUGAGACAAUGAAGUCAUUCUGACUCCAGAACCUACUUUUAAAAACACUACUCCAUGUCCUUAAAGAAAAAGAUGGAGCCAGGACCUCAGAGUUUACUGUAUUCUACUCAAAGAGUUUGGUUAUCACUAGAUCCAUGAAACACACCCCAUGGUCUGGAGACAUGGCCCCCAACCGGGGGUGGGUGUGACCAGGUUCCCUCCGCCGGUUUUCCCUGGUUGAAGGCAAUGAAAUCUUGGACUGGAGCCUGUGAGAGAAUACCAUUGCCUUACUUUACAAAGCUCCUAUGGUGGCUCCAGGCACAUGCUAAGCAACACAAGAGGCCCAGACUGUUCCACUCAACCGAUAAAGGGGACAGAAGUAUGGCAAUUUUCAUAGAAAUACUCAAAGUUACUCAGCCAGUAAGAAGCCAAAUCCUGGGACUAUGGGAGUCAGCCCUUGACUGUUCUGCUCUUUGCAUGCGGUCCCAAGACCUGGUGACUGUGGGUGAGUUCGAGGGCCACCAAGGUCCCAGAGUGCCUGCUGAUCCAGCAGGACAGUGUAGGAGUCCCCUUUCACAAGGCCAAAUGGAGAUGGAGGCCGGGAGAGGGCUCAGCCAGAUUUACAGCUAUUUAACACUUCAUCUGUUGGGACAUACUCUACUUCUCAGCGCCCAGAGCUACCUUCUCACGUGGUUUGUCCCCGCAUUAUUCCCCUAUACACAUGUUCUCUGAAGCACUGCUGAGUGUUUCCCUUGUGCCAGACAUGGGGCCUUUGGGUGGCAGAGAGGGGUCAGUGGGGCCGUCUGACCUAAGGCCCCAGCUCUAGAAAGAGGUUCCCAAGGAGGAGGCUACAUCCCCAGGGCUGAUUUCACCCACAGACUCUAGCCUCUAAGUCUUUGUGUAGGAAUUGAAAAGUCAAAGAGGAAAAUGAAAAGAAAAAGAUUCUCAGACAACAUAAACAAAAAAGCUCUGUGUAGAGGCUCAUAGAAAACCAGUCCUCUGUUUCUAAUGGUAUCUGGGUCUGAUAGGGAAGGGGCCUCAACACACACACUCAAGGCUAUGGCAUAAGUCUGGGCAGGUUAUCCCCAGUAUAGCUGCAGGGGACACCAUUCACAUCAAAGUAUACGUGAGUCAGACCAUUGGUUUUCUUAAACUUGGUUGCACAUUGGAAUCACUUGGGUGACUUUAAAUAUUGUUGACAUCUUGUUCCCUCCUCUAGAGAUUCUGAUUUAAUUGGUCUGAGAUGCAGUGUUGGCUCUGGGAUUUUUCAAGCUGUUCAGGUAGCUCUAAUAUGUGGCCAUGUUUGAGAACCACUGAAUUAGACUAUGCUGUGAAUGGUGUCCACUGGGGGAUGUGUGGUAUACAAUGUCUUAGCCUGUCAAAUUGGCCCUGCCCAUACACAUAUGUCAUCUUCAAUGACCUGAACUUGCUAGUAGGGGAGAUCACAGAUUAAAUACAUACUUCUCUGCCUCUUGAGUCAGUUUCCCUGAGGUUGAAGAGAGUGUAGGUACUGACCUCUGAGCCUUUGAAGGCUCUCUUAUACUUCCUGCAUCCUUCUGAAGGAUGAAGGAGAGGCAGGGGUCUAAUCCUGCUGAAAAUGGGGAGUUUGUCAAGCUGGGUUUUGGAAGCUGCCGGUCUGUCACUCUACCCAGGGGAAGCAUGCUGUUUUGAUCUCCUGGCUGAGUGAUUUAGGCCCUCAGAAGAAUCUGGCUUGUUUCCCCUGAUGCCUAGGUUAUAAAUCAGCCACGGUUAGCAGCUGCAUUUUACUCUGUCAGACCACAAGGGAACUGUAGUAGUUUUUACUGAAUUAGAAACUUAAUUGCACUAAAUAUAGCUCUGAUGCCCCAAAGAAGUUAUGGCAGCUCCCAAAGGUGUCUGGCUUCCUAUAUUCUCCCCCCUCUCUCCCCACCCUGAACUCAGAGAACCAGUUAAACUCUGAGCAAUUCAAAUCAUUAAAUCCCAGCUUCUGGAAUGAAUGUACUUUGUUUUGAAUAUGUCAGUAUCAUUAAAUCCUGCCAUGUGAAUUUAAUGUCACUGUUUCCCUAACAACUAAUGUCCUUCACAUGUGAAGAUGGAGGACAUGGAAAAUCCCACAAAAACCUAGAGAAAUGAGACAAGUAUGUGACACAGCAAGUUCUUGGUGUCAUGGUACAGUCCAAACCUUGCCUGUUUUAUGAGUUAGAUGCUCUGUAACUCAUUGAUGCUUCCCGCUGAUGAGUGCAUCUGUUGUUCUAAAAUUACAAGGCAAGCUUCUUGGGCUAAAACCUUACAUCUGGCAUGUGUAUUUAGAUUUGGCAUUUCAAAGUUAGUAUUUUUGGUUCAGCAGAGGGAUUCAAAACAAAUAUUUUCUGCAAAGUUCCACAUUCUUGAGUGGAUAGUUGAAUCUAGCCUGAGUGAGAGAGGAAGGACCAAGUAUGGAAGAGGCCGCUAGCUGCUACCCAGCAUCCAUUCUACUCUCUUCCCUUUGCAAUAGAACAGCAGGAACAAAAACAACCCUGUUUCCCAGAAUGCCUUGAGCUUGGUGAAGCCACAGGACCAAACUGGUUGGUGAGGCAGAAGUGGAAGUAGAACAUGGAGCUUCCAGGGAAGGCUUUCUUUAGGAGAAUCUAAUCAGAUGUGAGGUUUGUCCUUUUUUCAUUUCUUUUUCUUUUCUUUUCCUUCUGCCUUCUAUAAUGGGGACAUAAUGCCAAGCUUCCACAGUCACUUGGGACCAUGAGAUGACUUUGAAGAAGAAAGCAAGGUUUGAAAAGAUGUCAGCUGAAUACACAAGUCUAAGUAGCCAUGGGGUGCCUCCUGCCAUAGGCCUUUGAGAACCACAGAGGAAGCUGGGAGGUCCGUCUGGGCGUCAGCGGAGCACCUGGACCAGAAAGGUGACCCCCGAGGGAGCCCACAGAGGACUUCAGUGACAACAUGGAUGUGUGAAAACUCUUUCACACACAUGGAGCCAGGUGCUGGCUGUGUGGAGGAGCCUGCGUGGGGCCAAAUGGUAUGAGUUGCAGAUAGCGCCCUGGUGACCUUGACAAGGACAGCCACUACUGAGAACCAGGCAGGAAACUCUCUUUGUCGGUAAGAAGUCUACACCUCGGUUCCUAUGAGGAUCUUCUGUUUUGGGGGAGCAACACCAGCCACCAGGGGGACAUGGGGCUUCAGCCAGCUCUGCUCCAGGGAUCCAACAGUCAACAAAACCAGUGAGGCACCCCAGAGGUCGGAAGCUGAAAACAGAUACCCACAGCCAGUUCUUCACAAACAAGAGGUUUUAUUUUUAUACUGUACCCCCACCCUCUGCCAAAUAAGUGGGGAGAGCUCUGAAAGGGCAGAUUUUGUAGUCGAGAGCCACUGAGGGCAAGUGAAGCUGAGAUUCAUGCCUGGCAUAGGGGAGCAAAGGAAGAAGGACUGAGGUGUCUGGGGAGUGCCCCACCUGUGCUAGAUACCUCCCAGAGUUCUGAAGGAGGGAGUGAACCCAGACCCACACUGCACAGGGGAUCUGUCCUUCUGUGGGCCCAAGGGCAGAAAGAAGACAUCCUAAGAGCUUUGCGAAAGUAUCUUCCCCUUGGUGGCUGGGCCUCACCUCACAGGCCUCAAUAAUUCCUGUCCUACCCUGUCAGGAUGGUCAGCUAUCAUCCAUCUCUCCAGCCAAAAGACCCAGCCCUAGUCAGCUCCUAGAAGAUGUUUCCAGACAAUAUUUCAUUCUUAAGGAGCCUGUCUCUUUUGAUUAACAAGACCUUUUAGUUUUCUUCUGAAUUCUAUAUAAAUAGCCAGAACAUGUGCUCCACUAAAGGCAAGGGUGGGGAAGGGUGUUCCCUGGUGCCCUGGUCUCUUGGGUCUGAGCUUUGCCAGCAAGGUCACUAUUACCCCCAGAUGACUCUGGGUCUUGGCCAAACCAGCAAGUGUUCAGAUCACAGCUCCCUUCCCAUUUAGGCUGUUCAGUAGCUUUCCAUUUGCUCUCCAGACACAACCUAAAAGGUUCAACGAGGCUGACCCCUUGGGUUCCGGCCUGGGCACUGAACCUUUGAGCAUGUGCCCGAAACCUGGGCCACUUCCCCCACUGAUAAUCUCAGGGUGGAUAACAUAGCCAGGACCAGACAGACUUUAACCCACUGUCCCAGGGAUGCAGUCCUCUAUACUGCAAGAAAGAAUGCUAAAAGGCAGACUUCUGGCAGACAAACUGGAAACCUGUCAGGAAUAUGUCCUUGCUGGUCAGAGAGACCAAGGAAGGACCUGGGGUUGGGAUCCAAAAGCCAUGCAGUGAGCUUACCAUCAUGCUGGUGCCCGCCACCCCAAAUAAAGACAGAGAGCGUGUUGUCCAGAAGCCAGAGAGCAAGGGGGUGGAUUGUCGGGUAGCAGAAGGCAUCUCUGUUUGAGUGCGGCUGCAGUGGGACUGUCAGUUUCCACAGCCUGCAAGAUGCCCCCUGACACCAGAGGGGUUGCCAGCCAUCUUCCUCCUUCUCUUUGACUGGGUAUCAGCCGCUGUUCCUGCAGCUCCCAGCACAGUCCUCAGACGUCAAGAUACACCAGUCGCAUGGCUAUCCAGUGUGAACAGCACUCCCUGGGGUUAUGCAAGUCAAGGGCCUUGACUACAUUUCCUCAAGCAGGCCCCCAUGACCCUCCUGAAGAGUCCAAAUCCCACUUGAAGCUACAGGACCCUUUUUGGAUGUUGGAGAGUAACUGGUCAGAUCUCUCCACCCCCUGCCCUCCAGACAAGAAGAUCUAUAAGGGCAGAGCAGAAGCUGUGCUCUCUGGUGGUUGAGUGUUUCACUUCUAUAUCUCCACUUGAUUGCCCAUGUUUGGCCACAGAGGAGAUACUCAAUAAAUGUUGAAUGAAUGAACACAUUCUCAUCCCUCCACUCCUGCCCCCGACCAUUGCAGGCCUGCCCCCCACCCUGAGCUCCUGAAGCUCUGAGUCCAUUUGGGAGGCAUCAGUUAUCUCUAUGUUAGCCCUUUUUCUCUCUUAGGAACAGUUGGUGCUGAAUCAUUCUGCCUGGAGAUAAAGACUCCCCAAGGCCACUUCCCUGCAUGUGGGACUUCCAGAAUGCCUGGGAGAAAUCGUCAGUCCUGCCUGCCCAACUGCCACAUGUGGACACAUCUUUUUACUGUUUGAGCUUUCCUUGAUGCUCAUUAUAACCCAAAUCCAGGAUCUAAAGCUGUGGGCUGAGUGAGGAUGAGCAGGGAAAGGGGGUCAGGGAGGCAGGCAUGCAGGGUAUCAUGGCCAGUGGGUAUGCUGCUGGUGAUGCAUGGCUGUGUCCCUGUCCCCACACUUCCUCCCCAGAACCAAUGGCCCUCAGCUAGGAAUCCAGCAUUUCGUGAAUAUUGCUUCUGUAAACGGAAUCCUCUUUUUCCAUCCCCUUCUAUCAUCACACAUCAAAAUGAAUUCUCAUAUAGAAAGGUUCUAUUCCUAAGAUAAAAUACAAAUCACAACAAUAAUGUAUCAAGUAUAUUUUAAUCAUAUCUUUGGAAAACUAGAUGUUUUUGGUAAAAAUUUAUUAAAAUCACUCCUUAUAUACACAUAGUACCAAAAUUUUAAGGUAUUGCUAAAUCCUGUCUUCCUUUGGGAUGAGUGUCCCUUAUCUCAAGUGACAGGAAAAUAAAGAAAAUAUUUUCUUUUAAAACCCGACAGUUGUAACUGUCUCUUCUUAAAUCUUUGAUCUCUUGUGGUUGUUUAUUAUAUAGUUCAGAUUCAGGAAGAUUAAGAGCACCAACUUCUUUUAUAAAGAAGGCAAGCUUGUCUUGACCAUAAGGGUUGUUUCCAUGAUUCAUGAUUUUCCAGGUACUGACAUGAGGCUCUAUUUUGUCUAAUUCAGCAGAACUCAUAGACAGGUGCUUAGAGAGGUCCCCAUGUUCUGUUGGUCACUGGGCCCAAUUAGCUCUUUUCCAACACAGAUCCCAGCCUAGUGGGCAAACCAGGUUUUAGCCUUGCUAAAGAGUCACUGUGACCCAGUGAUAACUUAAGGAUUUAUUGACACCGCUGUCCCAUCAUAUUUAUUUUGUAUGGUUUUUAGUUUAUUUUGUAGCCAGCUAUCUAAUCCCUUUUUAUUUUUUUUUUAAUUUUUAUUUAUUUAUUUGACAGAUCACAAGUAGGCAGAGAGGCAGGCAGAGAAAGAGAGGAGGAAGCAGGCUUC